rnacentral:rRNA from 1 species
CCCUUAGAUGUUCUGGGCCGCACACGCGCUACACUGAAGGAGGCAGCGUGUACUCCUGGAUCGAAAGAUUUGGGUAACCCGCGAAUCUCCUUCGUGCUAGGGAUUGAGGUUUGCAAUUAUCCUUCAUGAACGAGGAAUUCCCAGUAAGUGCAAGCCAUAAGCUUGCGCUGACUACGUCCCUGCCCUUUGUACACACCGCCCGUCGCUACUACCGAUUGAAUGAUUUAGUGAGGACUUCGGACUGGGACCGAUGCGGCUUUCGGGCUGCGUCGGUAUUCUGGAAAGAUGUCCAAACUGUAUCAUUUAGAGGAAGUAAAAGUCGUANCA